rnacentral:rRNA from 1 species
UGCCAGCAGCCGCGGUAAGACGGAGGGCGCAAGCGUUGUUCGGAAUUACUGGGCGUAAAGGGCGGGCAGGCGGUCUGUUAAGUCUUUUGUGAAAAUCCGGGGCUCAACCCCGUGAAACGCAGAAGAUACUGGCAGACUUGAGACCAGUAGAGGCUAGCGGAAUUCCUGGUGUAGCGGUGGAAUGCGUAGAUAUCAGGAAGAACACCUGUGGCGAAGGCGGCUAGCUGGGCUGGAUCUGACGCUCAUCCGCGAAAGCGUGGGGAGCAAACAGGAUUAGAUA